rnacentral:tRNA from 1 species
GCCGGCGUAGCUCAGUUGGUAGAGCAACGCAUUCGUAAUGCGUAGGUCCGCGGUUCGAAUCCGUGCGCCGGCA